GACGAACGCUGGCGGCGUGCUUAACACAUGCAAGUCGAACGGAAAGGCCCCUUUGGGGGUACUCGAGUGGCGAACGGGUGAGUGACACGUGAGUAACCUGCCCUUGACUUCGGGAUAACUUCAGGAAACUGGGGCUAAUACCGGAUAGGAAUCCUUGCUGCAUGGUGGGGGUUGGAAAGCUUCGGCGGUUUUGGAUGGACUCGCGGCUUAUCAGCUUGUUGGUGGGGUAGUGGCUUACCAAGGCUUUGACGGGUAGCCGGCCUGAGAGGGCGACCGGCCACAUUGGGACUGAGAUACGGCCCAGACUCCUACGGGAGGCAGCAGUGGGGAAUAUUGCACAAUGGGCGGAAGCCUGAUGCAGCAACGCCGCGUGCGGGAUGACGGCCUUCGGGUUGUAAACCGCUUUCAGCAGGGGCGAAGCUUGUGGUGACGGUACCUGCAGAAGAAGCACCGGCUAACUACGUG
rnacentral:rRNA from 1 species